GACGAACGCUGGCGGCGUGCUUAACACAUGCAAGUCGAACGGAAAGGCCCUGCUUUUGUGGGGUGCUCGAGUGGCGAACGGGUGAGUAACACGUGAGUAACCUGCCCUUGACUUUGGGAUAACUUCAGGAAACUGGGGCUCAUACCGGAUAGGAGCUCCUGCUGCAUGUUGGGGGUUGGAAAGUUUCGGCGGUUGGGGAUGGACUCGCGGCUUAUCAGCUUGUUGGUGGGGUAGUGGCUUACCAAGGCUUUGACGGGUAGCCGGCCUGAGAGGGUGACCGGCCACAUGGGGACUGAGAUACGGCCCAGACUCCUACGGGAGGCAGCAGUGGGGAAUAUUGCACAAUGGGCGGAAGCCUGAUGCAGCAACGCCGCGUGCGGGAUGACGGCCUUCGGGUUGUAAACCGCUUUCGCCUGUGACGAAGCGUGAGUGACGGUAAUGGGUAAAGAAGCACCGGCUAACUACGUG
rnacentral:rRNA from 1 species